GUGUGUGUGUGUGUGGUGUGUGUGUAGCGUGUGUAGUGUGUGUGUAGCGUGUGUGUGGUGUAUGUGUGUAGCGUGUGUGUGUGUGUUGUAUGUGUGUAGUGUAUGUGUGUAGCGUGUGUAGUGUGUGUGUAGUGUAUGUGUGUAGCGUGUGUAGUGUGUGUGUAGCGUGUGUAGUGUGUGUGUAGCGUGUGUAGUGUGUGUGUGUAGUGUGUGUAGUGUGUGUGUAGCGUGUGUAGUGUCCAGACACUCUUCAUAUUAGCAUCAUUAGUGGUUCAGCUGCUUCAGGACUUGAAAUGUUGAAGAUCUUGGACCUUCUUCUGAGGCAUAGAAGACUUCCACAUCAUCCCCUGAAACAAAGUCAACGUCCCCAUAAGGCCCUGUUUAAAAAGGUAGUGCACUACACAGGCAAUAGGGUGCCAUUCGGGACAGAACCAAACACUUUCUUUCAGAAGUCAUUGGUGCUUCCUGCACCUCAUCUGAGACUGUAAAGACUUUAAAGUUAAUACAACAUUUACAUUUCUUUCUUUUUUUUUUAAACGGACAAAUUAAUGAAAUCUCAACUUCCUGCCAAAUAAAAGUAAACUUGUCCAUCCUCUCAAAUACAUAGAGACACAUGAAAUGAAUAUUAGGAGACCUGAUGUACAGAAACCAGUGUUAAAAAUGAUUCAAACAGCUCCUAACUAGAGCCUCAUAACUAUGUUCCAAAUGGCACCUAUUCUCUAUACACUACACUGCUUUGGACCAGAACCCAUCUGGACCGGGACCCAUCUGGACCGGGACCCAUCUGGACCGGGACCCAUCUGGACCGGAGCCCAUCUGGACCGGAGCCCAUCUGGACCGGAGCCCAUCUGGACCGGGACCCAUCUGGACCAGGACCCAUCUGGACCGGGACCCAUCUGGACCAGACCCAUCUGGACCGGGACCCAUCUGGAGCCCAUCUGGACCCAUCUGGACCAGAGCCCAUCUGGACCCAUCUGGACCAGAGCCCAUCUGGACCCAUCUGGACCAGAGCCCAUCUGGACCCAUCUGGACCAGAGCCCAUCUGGACCCAUCUGGACCAGAGCCCAUCUGGACCCAUCUGAACCAGAGCCCAUCUGGACCCAUCUGAACCAGAGCCCAUCUGGACCCAUCUGGACCAGAGCCCAUCUGGACCCAUCUGGACCAGAGCCCAUCUGGACCCAUCUGGACCAGAGCCCAUCUGGACCCAUCUGGACCAGAGCCCAUCUGGACCCAUCUGGACCAGAGCCCAUCUGGGCCCAUCUGGACCAGAGCCCAUCUGGACCCAUCUGGACCAGAGCCCAUCUGGACCCAUCUGGACCAGAGCCCAUCUUGGCCCAUCUGGACUAUACAGGGAAUAGGGUGCCAUUUGGGACGAAUCUUUCAAAAGGAUUGUUGGGGGGGGUCAUAUUUGUCCUGUCACACACAAGUGUAUUUCUUGCAUAUCCCAACUCCCCCGAAACACCUGCAGGGAGUGGGGUCACGGUCAGGGUCACCAUAUCCCAACUCCCCCUGAGACACCUGCAGGGAGUGGGGUCACGGUCAGGGUCACCACAUCCCAACUCCCCCUGAGACACCUGCAGGGAGUGGGGUCACAGUCAGGGUCACCAUAUCCCAACUCCCC
ensembl:lncRNA